rnacentral:rRNA from 1 species
CGAACGCUGGCGGUGUGCUUAACACAUGCAAGUCGACCGGUAAGGCCCUUUCGGGGGUACACGAGUGGCGAACGGGUGAGUAACACGUGAGUAACCUGCCCUCAUCUCUGGGAUAACAGUCGGAAACGGUUGCUAAUACUGGAUAUGAGCCUGCAAGGCAUCUUGUGGGUUGGAAAGAUUUUUUGGUUGGGGAUGGACUCGCGGCCUAUCAGCUUGUUGGUGAGGUAGUGGCUCACCAAGGCUUCGACGGGUAGCCGGCCUGAGAGGGCGACCGGCCACAUUGGGACUGAGAUACGGCCCAAACUCCUACGGGAGGCAGCAGUGGGGAAUAUUGCACAAUGGACGGAAGUCUGAUGCAGCAACGCCGCGUGCGGGAUGACGGCCUUCGGGUUGUAAACCGCUUUCAAUUGUGACGAAGCUUUUUGUGACGGUAGCAGUAGAAGAAGCACCGGCUAACUACGUG